GAAUGGGCAAGGACACUGAUUUUGGAGGCUGAGUGGAAUCUGAGACAAACUCUCUCUUACCAGAAUUUGGAGGUGGGGCAUUUUUCCAGGCCUUUCAAUGCAGUCCAGUGAGAUUCCCAUACCUGACUCCAUACUCAAUACCAGGCAUGGGGUUGUGUCAGCGAGACAAGGCAUGCAGAGCAUGUGCUGGGGCUCCUGGAUCUCAGGGGUGUGGGAGAUGCUGCUGAGGCAGUGGACAUAUUGCCAUGGCAACCUCCUCUAACAUGUACGUGGCUGGAGGUGCCGCCUGACUGUCUGCCAACUAGCCAUUGAUUUUGUCUAUUAUGGUUUUUCAAGUGAAUCACCAUGAGACAAAGCAAACAGAAAAGUGUACAUCUGUUAAAGAAUCUUAUUAAACUGUUCUUCACCCACCCCAUCCCCCUAAGAGUAUCCCCGGCAUGUGGCUCUGCCUAGCCCCACCUACACACUGUUCAGG